rnacentral:rRNA from 1 species
AGUGAACGCUGGCGGCGUGCUUAACACAUGCAAGUCGAACGAGAACGGAAUAUAGCUUGCUAUAUUUGUCAGCUAAGUGGCGCACGGGUGAGUAAUGUAUAGAUAACCUGCCCUUAAGAAAGGAAUAACAGUUGGAAACGACUGCUAAUGCCCUAUAUGCCUUUAAUACAUAAGUAUGCAAGGGAAACGCUUUAGUGCUUAAGGAUGGGUCUGUAUGGUAUCAGCUUGUUGGUGAGGUAAUGGCUCACCAAGGCUAUGACGCCUAACUGGUUUGAGAGGAUGAUCAGUCACACUGGAACUGAGACACGGUCCAGACUCCUACGGGAGGCAGCAGUGGGGAAUAUUGCACAAUGGACGAAAGUCUGAUGCAGCAACGCCGCGUGGAGGAUGACACAUUUCGGUGCGUAAACUCCUUUUAUAUAGGAAGAUAAUGACGGUACUAUAUGAAUAAGCACCGGCUAACUCCGUG